UACGGAGGGUGCAAGCGUUGUUCGGAAUUACUGGGCGUAAAGGGCGCGUAGGUGGUUGUGUAAGUCAGAUGUGAAAUCCCGAGGCUCAACCUCGGAACUGCAUCUGAUACUGCAUGACUCGAGUGCAGCAGAGGGAAACGGAAUUCCUGGUGUAGAGGUGAAAUUCGUAGAUAUCAGGAGGAACACCGGUGGCGAAGGCGGUUUCCUGGGCUGACACUGACACUGAGGCGCGAAAGCGUGGGUAGCAAACAGG
rnacentral:rRNA from 1 species